rnacentral:rRNA from 1 species
GAUGAACGCUGGCGGCGUGCCUAAUACAUGCAAGUCGAGCGAAUGGAUUAAGAGCUUGCUCUUAUGAAGUUAGCGGCGGACGGGUGAGUAACACGUGGGUAACCUGCCCAUAAGACUGGGAUAACUCCGGGAAACCGGGGCUAAUACCGGAUAACAUUUUGAACCGCAUGGUUCGAAAUUGAAAGGCGGCUUCGGCUGUCACUUAUGGAUGGACCCGCGUCGCAUUAGCUAGUUGGUGAGGGAACGGCUCACCAAGGCAACGAUGCGUAGCCGACCUGAGAGGGUGAUCGGCCACACUGGGACUGAGACACGGCCCAGACUCCUACGGGAGGCAGCAGUAGGGAAUCUUCCGCAAUGGACGAAAGUCUGACGGAGCAACGCCGCGUGAGUGAUGAAGGCUUUCGGGUCGUAAAACUCUGAUGUUAGGGAAGAACAAGUGCUAGUUGAAUAAGCUGGCACCUUGACGGUACCUAACCAGAAAGCCACGGCUAACUACGUGCCAGCCGCCGCCGUAA